rnacentral:lncRNA from 1 species
GGGAUGCAGUACAUAGAGAGAUGGAGGAGGGGCACAGUGAAGAGAGAGAUGGGAGGGAUACAGUGCAGAGAGAGAUGGAGGAGGGACACAGUGCAGAGAGAGAUGGAGGAGGUAUGCAGUGCAGAGAGAUGGAGGAGGGAUACAGUGCAGAGAGAGAUGGAGGAGUGAUACAGUGCAGAGAGAUGGAGGAGGGAUGCAGUGCAGAGAGAGAUAGAGGAGGUAUGCAGUGCAGAGAGAUGGAGGAGGUAUGCAGUGCAGAGAGAUGGAGGAGGGAUGCAGUGCAGAGAGAUGGAGGAGGGAUGCAGUGCAGAGAGAGAUGGAGGAGGGGCACAGUGCAGAGAGAUGGAGGAGGGGAACAGUGCAGAGAGAGAUGGAGGAGGGGCACAGUACAGAGAGAGAUGGAGGAGGGACACAGUGUAGAGAGAGAUGAGGAGGCAUACAGUGCGGAGAGAGAUGGAGGAGGGAUGCAGUUCAGAGAGAGAGAUGGAGGAGGGGAACAGUGCAGAGAGAGAUGGAGGAGGGACACAGUGUAGAGAGAGAUGGAUGCAGUGCAGAGAGAGAUGGAGGAGGGACACAGUGCAGAGAGAGAUGGAGGAGGGAUACAGUGCAGAGAGAUGGAGGAGGGAUGCAGUGCAGAGAGAGAUGGAGGAGGGGCACAGUGCAGAGAGAGAUGGAGGAGGGAC